CCCCUGGAGGGCUAGUGGUUAGGCCACAGCGCUCUCACUGCUGCAGCCCAGGUUUGAUUCCUGGCCAGGGAA
rnacentral:tRNA from 1 species